rfam:Myotis brandtii contig218996, whole genome shotgun sequence.
CCAAAGGCUCUUUUCAGAGCCACCCAUGUUCUCCGAGAAGGAGCUG